rnacentral:rRNA from 1 species
UGUUACUCCUCGGCGUUAAGCACGAUUUAUGUUUUAUUUUCUGCUAGGCGACUACACUGAUAUCGCAGUCAAAGUCGAAGUACUUGGCGGUCCAAGAUACCCAUUCCGCGGGACUUGACGGUUAAUCUGAUAAUCCGCGUUUCACCGCACUUGCCCUUGAAUCAAGGAGGAGAGUAGGCCUCCCAGGAGAGGACAAUAUGAUACUACAGUUGGUGUAUGGCCGUCGCCAGCUUCCUUUUAGAGGAUGUUCUAAACGCAGGUUGCUAAGACCCCUUUUCGUCGAGGGUGCGCAGUUAGGCGUUCCAAAAAGGCGUGGGAGAAGAAGUCAGGUCGUCAUGCCGCCUACGGGCAAGGCUUAGUUGAGUCACAGGUUGUAAACAUAUUCGGAGGGUGGGAGGAAGAGGCCAUCAGAUAAAGAAGUAGGAGUGGACAGUAGCUUUCAAUUAGAACGUGAGAGCGAAGAGUGAACUUUUGGGCGUACAUACUGCC